GUCCCCUGCUCACCCGGUGGCAAAGCCGGCGAGGAGGCGGCGGCGCUGGUGGGGACUGACCCGGCAGUCCGAGAAUCCACCGCGGCCUUUUCACCCAACCGCCCCCUCCUGCGUGGGGGCCCCGCAUCCCCUGGACUGGCGUGGGCUCUGGGGCCCGAUGCCCUGGCAGCCCCGGCCAUCUCUGCCGCUGGCCGCGGGUACCUGCUCACCUGUCCACGCCGUGGCCGACCCGGGGAUCACCGACAGCCGGGCCAUGCCUCGAGUCCCGCCGCCCGCGCCGCUGCUCGGCUUCUCAGAAACGCACCUCCACGCCGCCAGCCGGGGCUCCAGGGUCCACCGCCCGGGCCCGGAGGACUGGCGACUCCCUCCGAGGUUGGGAGCGCUCCGGAUUUCUCCAACUUCAGGUCGGUCCCCACCCACCGGGCCACGUGACUGGGGAGGGGGCAGCCGGUGCAGGCGUGUGGAGGAGGCUUUCGGGACCUCCUCCCCCGGGCACCCUCUGCCUGCAGCCCGGCACCCGGCCCGCGUUUCCGAGCCGGGGGAGCAGGUGCAGUCGGAAGCCCGCGGGUGGGCGUGGGGCGGGGGAGUGGCGAGGGUCCCCCGCCUCCGCGGGAGCGCACGCGGCUGCGAGCCCUACACCUGCUCUCCGACCAAAGAAGCACCUGUUUUUCUCAAUAAGUGCUAGGGCUUACCAUCUAAAGGAUCGUUCACCAUCCCUCCAGCGUCCUUAGUAGGAGCGAUUGGAACCCGUUUUUCUUCCUGAAUAAUCCAUACUUUUAAGCCAUUCUAAUCGGGCCUUCAGGCAUCCUGGAUUCUGGUCUCGACAUUGUGAUUUGACACAAAUCACGUUUUCACUCUGGAAACCACAACUACUCCCUCCACCCCAUCACGCAGGAGCAGACCUGGAUAAGAAAUAUGUGCACUCUGCAAAGAACCAAUGAUAAAAGUAACAAUAUCGACGCUUACUGAGCCUUUACUAUGUGCCAGGUACUAGACUAGACACUUAAAAUGCAGUAUCUCAUUGGAUCCUGGCAACAGCUUGUAAGAUAGUAUUCUCAUCACCCCCAUUUUACAGGCAAAUACCUGAUACCUUCUGUCUGGCCUCCUGAAUGCUCCUUGGUUCCAUUCCAAUACGUUGUUCACUGUGCUGCCAGAGUAAUCUUCUCAAACGAUAAGUGUGAUCAUCUCACUUCCCUGCUAAGAGCACCUCAAAAGGCUUCCUAUUGCUCUUAGGAGAAACCCACAUUCUUGCAUGGUCUGCCUAGACCCUGCAUAUUCACUCUGUACUUCAGCCUCAUGGGCCUUCUUCCAGUUCCUUCCAGUCACCUGUUGCCAAAUGGCCUGCCUUUGACUGUCCUGUUCCCUCUGUGUGCAGUGCCCCCUCCUACCCUCUUCAGGAAACUCCUAUGCUUCUUCCAGACCUCAGCUCCAUUAUCAUUUCUUUAGGAAAGCCUUCUCUGACCUUCCAGAGAGAGUGAAGUCUCUCUAAUUAUAUACUAUCUAUCUCUUGGGCAUUUGACACUUUCUGUGGGGGUAGGGGUAGGGGGGUACUGGUUGUUGGAUUAAUAUUUGUCUCCUCCACUGAUUGGAACCUCCAGGAAGGUGACUGAACCCAUUUUUUGCUUAGCAUUGAUGCCCUAAUAUGCAGAGGGUUCUCAAAUACUAGUGAAAGGAUGGCAAAAAGUUAAGGUCGUACCAAAGAAAUCAAGUGGUAAAGCUGGCAUUUACUCCCAGAACCUGUGCUGGACUACCUAGACCUGGAGAGACUGGGUUUGGCCUCAUGAAGCUGCUUCUUUUACUCUGUUCUGCCUUCAACACUUGCCCCAGUUUCAAAGACUGUUUGUGGGAAAACAAAUACAGAAGGCUGCUCACUUGGCUUCAAGGAAGCCCCAGGGCUGGAUUCCUCCCUGUGUGCCCAUCCCCUACUUUCCCCUACACACGGAGGACAGAGUCUCUAGGAGACAGGUGGGAUUGCUGUUCACCUUCCAGUCCCCUGGCACACUUCCAGCAGUGAACAACAGUGGCUGCCCUGGCCCCUUCUGUCCCAUCACCUGGAUCCCUGCCUGAUCACUCCUCCAGGUGCAGAUCACCCAGGGAACAGUGAAAGUCAGCUUUGCCUUGUCCGUCUAGGAGAGGUGCCUCUGAGUUUGGCAAAGCAUCAGGGCAGGUCCAACAGUGAGGGCCCCUAGGGCUUGGGCUGGGACAGUGACUUUCCUCAGGGAGGAAGCCAGGCAGGUAGACACUCUCGGGGGGAGUUGGAAUCCCCACUCUCCAGGCUGCUCAGCUCAGACCUGCAGCCUUUUUUGCUGAGGAUGUCCUGACAGAAGAAAGGGGCUCUUUUCAGAGCUAGAUCCCCCUGGGAACACCAGGAAGCUGAAUCUCUCUAGUUGAACUGGAAUUUGCCCAUAUCAAGUGUUGCUGAAAAAUAAAUGGUGCCCGACUGGAACUGGGAAUCUUUUUGUGAAUUCAGAGCCCUUUGGUGUAGUGGGAUUUGUGUUCUGCAGUUGGGUCUGUGGCUGCAAUACCUGUUGGUCCCCUCACCUGUCUGAGACCUUCCUUGGACAGACUGAUACCAUCACUGCCCUCAAGGUUCAGUGUGGUGAGGCCAGCUCCUUCCUCCCCCCACACAUUAUGAGUAUUCGCAGACUACAGACUGCCUGCUUAAUUUAAGGAGAGUUAUCUCUGGGUGGUUUAUCCUGUUUGCCCAAAUGACUUUGAGUAAAUCACUUCCUACCUCUGAGCCUCAGUUUCCAUAUCUGUAAAAUGGAUGUAGUGAGACUGCAUAUACAAUUGUGCUUUGUAAACUCUCUAGGGCUGUACCAACAGAAAAGAUUAUUAUUAAUUCUCCAUAUAGCCAAUCAACGUCCCCUGCCUCAUUGACCCAUCUUGGAGGAAGUAACAUACAAUAUGGUUGUUAAAAACACAGGUUUUGGAGUCUAAUACACUAGAUUUGAAUCCCUGCUCUGCUGCUUACUAGCUAUGUGACUAGUUAGUUACUGCACCAUUGUGAGCUUUCAGUUCUUCAUCUAGAAAAUUGUGCCAAUAUCUCUACUUCUCAGGGCUGCUGUGAGAAAUAAAACGAUAGACAGUGUAAUACAUUGGUCAUGUAGCAUAGGCUCAGCAGAAGGUAGCAACCAUCAUUACCUGGAACAACUUCAGGAAAAACUGUAGGUUGCAGAACCCUCGAAUUGGGGCUGGCCUAUCCUUUCUCCAGGCUUCCCUACAGAGCUUCAGACAUGAAGCCAGACUUGAGUAUCUUACCCUAUCCCUAGAGCAGAGGCCUGCUGAGGCAGGGGCUGGCCAGCUCUCUUCCUCUCCUCAGUGUCUCCAGAUUCUGGACUUUCCAUGUGCAAUGGCUCUAUCCUAAAGUUCUCUGCAUCCUCCCUUGGCUGUUAUAGAAGACCUGUACUUGAAAAUCAUACUAGAAAAUCCAGUACUGUUUCAGUGUUAGAAUGCUAUUCACGUUAUUCUUCUUAUAAGUGACAGAUACCCAGUUGAAAAUUUCUUAUGUGAAAAUGCAAAUUUUUGGUCCCCUUAAUUUAAAAGUGCAGGGCUUCAGGCAUGGCUGGAUCCAAAGACUCAAAUGACAUUAUCACUGUGUUUCAGCUCUGCUUUCCUCUGAGCUGAUGCCCCUGUAGGCAGACCCUUCCUGUCUGAUGGCUAUUUGUGACUCUAGGCUUACAACCUAUUCUCCUAGCAACCCUCUUUUGGGUCUUCAGCUAACAGAGAGGCCUUUAAGAAUGAGAAACAGGAUGAGUGCUGAGGCUUGGAGGCCUAAAAAGUAGAGGAGAAGAGCAGAGGAUAAAGGGGAGACUGCCAAGAAAUUUUCCUCCCCAUUCCCUCCCUACCCAUGCAUAUUGCCCUUGGCCAUACCCUGAAGUCAGAAUGGCCACUCCUAGGACCCUCAUCAUGCACCACCCCAUCCUUAUAGCUGUAGGAUCCCUUUCCUCCUCAGAUGUCCUCACCACUACCCCAACCCCCUUUGGCAGGAAGAUUCUUCGAACAGCUAUCCAGAUGUGUGCCAGGAUCUCUGGCUACAUGGUACCCCUGACUUGGCACCCAGCUCUAAAAACUGUGUCUGCUUUGGCAGUUAAAGCAAAGAUAAGAGAUAUUUCUGUCCUCUUCCUUCAGAGUGAUUGCCAACAUCACCAUGACCUCAAGAAACAGGGCUGAUGGCAGCCCUGCUGGUGUUUUCCAAAGUUGCCUGGGUCUUUUGGAUCCAUUACAGUCACCAGUGAUUUGGUUUCAUUUCCCGGGAUGAGAACAGGCUUUGACCUCAACUCAGACAGCAAAAGAGGAGAAAUAAUGGAAAGAAAACAAACACCAGUAUCUGAAGGACGUGUGUCUGGUGGAAGUGGGGAAGUGAGGAGUCUAGGCUUAGCUUUGAAUCUGGUUCCACCCCUUGCUUGCUAUGGGACCUUGGCCAAGUUACUGAAGCUCUCUGAGCCUCAGUUUAUCCAUCUUGCAGGGUU
rnacentral:lncRNA from 1 species